GAUGAACGCUGGCGGCGUGCUUAACACAUGCAAGUCGAACGAUGAAGCGCAGCUUGCUGCGUGGAUUAGUGGCGAACGGGUGAGUAACACGUGAGUAACCUGCCCCAGACUCUGGGAUAACUCCGGGAAACCGGAGCUAAUACCGGAUACGACCCAUGCAGGCAUCUGUUGUGGGUGGAAAGUUUUUUCGGUUUGGGAUGGGCUCGCGGCCUAUCAGCUUGUUGGUGAGGUAGUGGCUCACCAAGGCGACGACGGGUAGCCGGCCGGAGAGGGCGAGCGGCCACGCUGGGACUGAGACACGGCCCAGACUCCUACGGGAGGCAGCAGUGGGGAAUAUUGCACAAUGGGCGCAAGCCUGAUGCAGCGACGCCGCGUGAGGGAUGACGGCCUUCGGGUUGUAAACCUCUUUCAGCAGGGAAGAAGCGCAAGUGACGGUACCUGCAGAAGAAGCACCGGCUAACUACGUGCCAGCCGCCGCAGUAACAC
rnacentral:rRNA from 1 species